rnacentral:rRNA from 1 species
AUGGCUCAGGAUGAACGCUAGCGGCAGGCUAACACAUGCAAGUCGAGGGGCAUCGGGAGUAGCAAUACUUGCCGGCGACCGGCGCAAGGGUGCGUAACGCGUGAGCAACAUGCCCGUAUCAGGGGGAUAAUCCAUGGAAACGUGGUCUAAUACCCCAUAGUAAUUAUGUAAGGCAUCUUAUAUAAUUUAAAGCUUUGGUGGAUACGGAUUGGCUCGCGUGACAUUAGCUAGAUGGUAAGGUAACGGCUUACCAUGGCUACGAUGUCUAGGGGUUCUGAGAGGAAGGUCCCCCACACUGGAACUGAGACACGGUCCAGACUCCUACGGGAGGCAGCAGUGAGGAAUAUUGGACAAUGGAUGGAAAUCUGAUCCAGCCAUGCCGCGUGCAGGAAGACGGCCCUAUGGGUUGUAAACUGUCUUUUGUAUGGGAGCAAUAAGGGCUACGUGUAGUCCGAUGAGAGUACCAUACGAAUAAGCACCGGCUAACUCCGUGCCAGCAGCGGC